rnacentral:rRNA from 1 species
CCCUUAGAGUUUGAUCCUGGCUCAGGAUGAACGCUGGCGGCGUGCUUAACACAUGCAAGUCGAACGGGAUCCAUCAGGCUUUGCUUGGUGGUGAGAGUGGCGAACGGGUGAGUAAUGCGUGACCGACCUGCCCCAUACACCGGAAUAGCUCCUGGAAACGGGUGGUAAUGCCGGAUGCUCCAGUUGAUCGCAUGGUCUUCUGGGAAAGCUUUCGCGGUAUGGGAUGGGGUCGCGUCCUAUCAGCUUGACGGCGGGGUAACGGCCCACCGUGGCUUCGACGGGUAGCCGGCCUGAGAGGGCGACCGGCCACAUUGGGACUGAGAUACGGCCCAGACUCCUACGGGAGGCAGCAGUGGGGAAUAUUGCACAAUGGGCACAAGCCUGAUGCAGCGACGCCGCGUGAGGGAUGGAGGCCUUCGGGUUGUAAACCUCUUUUAUCGGGGAGCAAGCGAGAGAGAGUUUACCCGUGAAUAAGCACCGGCUA